UACGUAGGGCGCAAGCGUUAUCCGGAAUUAUUGGGCGUAAAGAGCUCGUAGGCGGUUUGUCGCGUCUGCCGUGAAAGUCCGGGGCUCAACUCCGGAUCUGCGGUGGGUACGGGCAGACUAGAGUGAUGUAGGGGAGACUGGAGUUCCUGGUGUAGCGGUGAAAUGCGCAGAUAUCGGGAGGAACACCAGUGGCGAAGGCGGCACUCUGGGCCGGUACUGACGCUGAGGAGCGAAAGCGUGGGGAGCGAACAGG
rnacentral:rRNA from 1 species